CUCGCCGACAGCUCUCUUUCAUUCACUCUCUCUCGCGUUGCCUUUCUUUCUCUCGUCUCUGCUAUUCACCAAGAACACGGAGGAAGAACAUCAAGGUGGACUCUCUUGAUGGUCAUGGUGAUAUGUUGAUGCUGAUGGGAAUUAUUUGGAAAUAUCUUGACCCGUAAAUUAUUUUUGGAAGAAACAAGUCGAGGUGGACUCUCUUGACGGUGUGUUGAUGCUGAUGGGUAUUAUUUGGAGAUAUCAUGACGCACAAAUUAUUUUUGGAAGGACACCCAUCGUCAAGUUGAGGUAUAAAUGA